rnacentral:tRNA from 1 species
GGACUCAAUCCCUUGAUAUAUCUGCAUUUGAGCUAUUAUCCUCAUUUUUACACUUCUUAUUUAUUUAUAUCCA